rnacentral:rRNA from 1 species
GACGAACGCUGGCGGCGUGCUUAACACAUGCAAGUCGAACGAAGUGGCGAACGGGUGAGUAAUACGUGGGUACCCUGGCCUCCUUUUUGGGACAAGGCUUGGAAACGGGGUCUAAUAGCGAAUACGGGGGGAUGGGCCCGCGGCCGAUGAGCUUGUUGGUGGGGUGCUGGUCUACCAAGGCGGGGACGGGUAGCCGGCCUGAGCGGGUGAACGGCCACAGUGAGACUGGGCAGCGGCCCAGACUCCUAAGGGAGGCAGCAGUGGGGGAUAUUGAACAAUGGGCGAAAGAGUGAUGCAGCGACGGCGCGUGGGGGAUGAAGGCUUUAGGGUUGUAAACCUCUUUCGGUAUAGAACGGGUAGGUGGAGAAGAAGCGCCGGCUAACUACGUGCCAGCAGCCGCGGUAAUUC